UGCCAGCAGCCGCGGUAAUACGGAGGAUCCAAGCGUUAUCCGGAUUCAUUGGGUUUAAAGGGUCCGUAGGCGGAUUUUUAAGUCAGUGGUUAAAGCCGACAGCUCAACUGUCGAACUGCCAUUGAUACUGGAAAUCUUGAGUACAAAUGAAGUAGGCGGAAUGAGUCAUGUAGCGGUGAAAUGCAUAGAUAUGACUCAGAACACCGAUUGCGAAGGCAGCUUAAUAACAUGUAAAUGAAGCUGAGGGAAGAACACGUGGGGCGCGAACAGUAUUAGAUC
rnacentral:rRNA from 1 species